AUUGAACGCUGGCGGCAGGCUUAACACAUGCAAGUCGAGCGGGGAGAUGUAGCUUGCUACAUAUCCUAGCGGCGGACGGGUGAGUAAUGCUUAGGAAUCUGCCUAUUAGUGGGGGACAACAUUCCGAAAGGAAUGCUAAUACCGCAUACGCCCUACGGGGGAAAGCAGGGGAUCUUCGGACCUUGCGCUAAUAGAUGAGCCUAAGUCGGAUUAGCUAGUUGGUGGGGUAAAGGCCUACCAAGGCGACGAUCUGUAGCGGGUCUGAGGGGAUGAUCCGCCACACUAGGACUGAGACACGGCCCAGACUCCUACGGGAGGCAGCAGUGGGGAAUAUUGGACAAUGGGCGCAAGCCUGAUCCAGCCAUGCCGCGUGUGUGAAGAAGGCCUUUUGGUUGUAAAGCACUUUAAGCGAGGAGGAGGCUCCUUUAGUUAAUACCUAAAGAGAGUGGACGUUACUCGCAGAAUAAGCACCGGCUAACUCUGUG
rnacentral:rRNA from 1 species